GUUCCAAAGCUAGCACCGAUAUGGUGAGAUCAGGCCGAGGGAUACCAAAAAUCACCUUUGCAUAAAAUGGGUCGUUAAGCAUCUUCUUCUUCUCCGACGAGCUUCGUCAUGCUUUCUCUCUCCAACACUUCUGGUUUCACGUAUAGAAGAGUGCAAAUCUUCCUCCUCAGCACCACAAGAUCUCUCUAGUGUAGGUCUAGUUGCUCAUGACUCUACCGCUUCUUGAACGCUCCCGAUUUACAUCAUUCGAGAUUUGGGGUCGGGUUCAACUUGGUUUCACAGAACCAGUUUUUGCGUAUCUUUGUGGUCUCCAUGCUGACCACUGCACGUGUUGCUGUCGUCGCUUGUGGUCUUGAGGGGAAGAAAACACAAAUCAACUGCUGUAAUUUUUUUUCUCUCUAACUCAGCUUAAACUCGAGCUCUGAUACUACUUGUUGAGAAAUU
rnacentral:lncRNA from 1 species